AAAAUUUAUGAUAAAUGUAUAUGAUGCACUCAAUGUGUACGAGCUUGUCCAACAUAUGUAUUAGAAAUGAUACCCUGGGAUGGAUAUAAAGCCAAGCAAAUUGCUUCCGCCCGAGAACUGAAAUGCUAG
rnacentral:rRNA from 1 species